GUGUGCUGCAGCUCGCUGUUUCUGAGGGCGUGUCGGAGUCGCCGCUCGGCGAGCGUUACAUGAGGCGCGUUUAGCUUUCAUCUCCCAUAACUGACAGAAUAUUCACGGCACUAGCUAGCAUCAUCCUCCUCUGUAGAGACAACAAGUAAAAGGACUGUAGCCUUGUUUCAACCAGCAGCGGAAACAUAAAGUGGAGAAUCUUCUUUUAACUCAACGCUCGUGAUUCAGGAUCGGGUUCAUCCUUGUCACCUCCAGAUAAGUCUGCUGUGCGGUUUGCUAACUUUGUGUCUCCUGUGGUGAGUUAGCUGUGUAACGUUAGCCCACAUUACAUGCUCAUAUUAAAUCAUUUAGUUCACCUGGAGAGAUUUUAGGAUUCUAGAUAUAGGAUAGAUUCUCCACUUUAUGUUUCUGCUGCUGUUUGAAACAACGCUACAGUCCUUUUACUUGUCUCUACAGAGGAGGAUGACGCCAGAGCCCUAUAAAGAGAGAGUCGCGUCAUCUCCGUUCACUCCAGGGGACCAGUUUUUCACAGCAAUGGUGGAUCACGGAGUGUCUGAAUAGUUCCCGGAAGUAAGCAUAAAAUGCUAGCAGCGCAGCAGAGCUGCAAUAGAAAAUGCUAUCUCGGAUGCACAUUUGAAAGCACAAGAAUCACAGGGGGUUCAGUGGAGUCUGAAGAUGAUCUGCAGUGAUGUUUUUAAUAAAACAAACAUAAAGCCA